AUUUUCAGAGGGCUGUCGGAUACCAGAAUCUCAUUUCUGGUUCAGGAAGUCUCCGAUUCAUGGACUGCUGCAGGAGAGGGUACUGAGGAAGUAUCACAACUUGCUUACCCUGAUCUAGCACUUCUCUAAGUUUGUGCCAUUGUUCAGUACUGGAGGAUACUGGGAUGGAUCUGCGGUCUCACCUGGUACAGUUCCGUGCACACAGUGCCUUCUUGGUGUGCAUCAAAUCCUCACCUGUGUUGGAAAGCACUCUUUGUGAACAUUUUUACAGAGAGGUGUGUAAUAGAUCCAGCAAAGGCUGAGGACUGGUAAUAGUGGCUGAUGUAGUACCAUGGAGAAAAGAAAUCUGAACACUGCUCUCCAAGGAGGCUGAGUGAGAAGGGAGGACACAAUAAGAACAUAAGGAGUGAGAAUAAAGGCAUCAAGAAUAUCAAAGACAAAGACAUUCCUUUAUUCCUCGUCAGGCAAAGAGGAAAGAUAGCAGAAUCAGAGCUGUGAAGGCUUCCCUGUUAUUAGACCCUAAUGCAGGCCAGAAAUAUCACUAUCUCCCAGCCACUGCAAACUGAAGAACCCAAUUGUCCUUAUCUGCUCUCCAAAAUGUGUACUCUGAGGAAUGUCCUGCAAAUGUGGCAAAGCUGUUUGUGGCCAUGAUGCACCUGGUCUCUUCUAUCCGGAGGGCAGGACCCUGGAGUUGUUUCUGCAUCUGGGUCCCUCACAGAGCUGCAGGACGCAUGGUGUGUUUCAGUAAGGAUACCACCCUUGGUGUGCUGGAUGCCAUGCAAUGGCAGUGACAGAAAGCAAGAGCUUUAUCCUCCUUCAUUGCUCUGCUCUGCGAACAGAACAGUGCUCUUGGCGGAGCCAAAUUGAAAGCUUUCUGCGCAAUUGGCACAGUUAGAAAUCUGCAGUCAGGAAUGUGUGAGCUGGUAAAUCUGUAAGUGGAGAGUUGCAUGGAGGCUUGACAUGACAGUAGGUGAAGUGAUCCAGUAGUAGUUUUGCUUUCCCUUUAUGUCACUCUCUGGCUUCCUGUUCAGCUACAACAAAGAAAAACCUUCCCAAGUUCAACUUCAGGGCCUUACAGAUGUUGCCUUCCCUGCCAUGGCACCUUCCUCUACCAAUUUACUAAUUUGAUGUUUGCCCUGUGCCUACGUGGCUUUGUGCUUUCUCUCCUGUACCUUCUGUCUCUGGCAGUUUUUUCCUGGAAGACUGAUCUGCUAUUGUAUAUAAGUAUUUUUUUCCCACCUAUCAUCUUUUUCUUGCCUUCUGAAUAUACUGUCAUUAAACCUUU
rnacentral:lncRNA from 7 species